AGAGCGAACGCUGGCGGCAGGCCUAAUACAUGCAAGUCGAACGGAUCCUUCGGGAUUAGUGGCGGACGGGUGAGUAACACGUGGGAACGUGCCCUUUGGUUCAGAACAACUCAGGGAAACUUGAGCUAAUACUGGAUAAGCCCUUCGGGGGAAAGAUUUAUCGCCAUUGGGAGCGGCCCGCGUCUGAUUAGCUAGUUGGUAGGGUAAAGGCCUACCAAGGCUUCGAUCAGUAGCUGGUCUGAGAGGAUGAUCAGCCACACUGGGACUGAGACACGGCCCAGACUCCUACGGGAGGCAGCAGUAGGGAAUCUUGCGCAAUGGGCGAAAGCCUGACGCAGCCAUGCCGCGUGAAUGAUGAAGGUCUUAGGAUUGUAAAAUUCUUUCAGCGGGACGAUAUGACGGUACCCGCAGAAGAACGCCCGGCUAACUUCGCGCCAGCGAGCCGC
rnacentral:rRNA from 1 species